rnacentral:rRNA from 1 species
UCCGUAGGUGAACCUGCGGAGGGAUCAUUACGCAAAUAUGAAGGCGGGCUGGAACCUCUCGGGGUUACAGCCUUGCUGAAUUAUUCACCCUUGUCUUUUGCGUACUUCYAUGKUYMCUUGGGUGGGUUCGCCCACCACUAGGACAAACAUAAACCUUUUGUAAUUGCAAUCAGCGUCAGUAACAAAUUAAUAAUUACAACUUUCAACAACGGAUCUCUUGGUUCUGGCAUCGAUGAAGAACGCAGCGAAAUGCGAUAAGUAGUGUGAAUUGCAGAAUUCAGUGAAUCAUCGAAUCUUUGAACGCACAUUGCGCCCUUUGGUAUUCCAAAGGGCAUGCCUGUUCGAGCGUCAUUUGUACCCUCAAGCUUUGCUUGGUGUUGGGCGUCUUGUCUCUAGCUUUGCUGGAGACUCGCCUUAAAGUAAUUGGCAGCCGGCCUACUGGUUUCGGAGCGCAGCMUCWAGWCGCACUCUCUAUCAGCAAAGGUCUAGCAUCCAUUAAGCCUUUUUUUCAACUUUUGACCUCGGAUCAGGUAGGGAUACCCGCUGAACUUAAGCAUAUCAAUAAGCGGAGGAAUGACACCG